rnacentral:rRNA from 1 species
CAGGGCGAGGUGUAGGCAAAUCCGCACCUCAUGCGCCUGAGAUCUGACACGGACCCGUACAGGGGAAGUCGGUGAUCCUAUGCUGCCAAGAAAAUCUUCUAGCGAGGUUCGAGCCGCCCGUACCCCAAACCGACUCAGGUGGUUAGGUAGAGAAUACCAAGGCGAUCGAGUGAAUCGUGGUUAAGGAAUUCGGCAAAAUACCCCCGUAACUUCGGGAGAAGGGGGGCCCAGAGGGUGACGGGACUUGCUCCCCGAGCCUGAACGGCCGCAGAGACCAGGGAGAAGCGACUGUUUACUAAAAACACAGGUCCGUGCCAAGUCGCAGGACGAUGUAUACGGACUGACGCCUGCCCGGUGCUGGAACGUUAAGGGGACCGGUUAGCCUCACGGCGAAGCUGAGAACUUAAGCGCCAGUAAACGGCGGUGGUAACUAUAACCAUCCUAAGGUAGCGUAAUUCCUUGUCGGGUAAGUUCCGACCUGCACGAAUGGCGUAACGAUUUCUCCACUGUCUCAACCACGAACUCGGCGAAAUUGCACUACGAGUAAAGAUGCUCGUUACGCGCAGAAGGACGGAAAGACCCCGGGACCUUUACUACAGCUUGGUAUUGGUGUUCGGUACGGCUUGUGUAGGAUAGGUGGGAGACUGUGAAGCUGACACGCCAGUGUCGGUGGAGUCAACGUUGAAAUACCACUCUGGUCGUUCUGGAUAUCUAACCUAGGUCCGUGAUCCGGAUCAGGGACAGUGCCUGGUGGGUAGUUUAACUGGGGCGGUUGCCUCCUAAAGGUAACGGAGGCGCCCAAAGGUUCCCUCAGCCUGGUUGGCAAUCAGGUUUUGAGUGUAAGUGCACAAGGGAGCUUGACUGUGAGACUGACAAGUCGAACAGGGACGAAAGUCGGGACUAGUGAUCCGGCGGUGGCUUGUGGAAGCGCCAUCGCUCAACGGAUAAAAGGUACCCCGGGGAUAACAGGCUGAUCUUGCCCAAGAGUCCAUAUCGACGGCAUGGUUUGGCACCUCGAUGUCGGCUCGUCGCAUCCUGGGGCUGGAGUAGGUCCCAAGGGUUGGGCUGUUCGCCCAUUAAAGCGGUACGCGGGCUGGGUUUAGAACGUCGUGAGACAGUUCGGUCCCUAUCCUCUGCGCGCGCAGGAAACUUGAGAAGGGCUGUCCCUAGUACGAGAGGACCGGGAUGGACGAACCUCUGGUGUGUCAGUUGUUCUGCCAAGAGCACCGCUGAUUAGCUACGUUCGGGAGUGAUAACCGCUGAAAGCAUCUAAGCGGGAAGCAUGCUUCAAGAUGAGGUUUCCAUGGGGUUUACCCCGAGAGGCUCCCAGCUAGACUACUGGGUUGAUAGGCCGGAUGUGGAAGUGCGGUAACGCAUGGAGCUGACCGGUACUAAUAAGCUGAAAAG